CACGAAACACUAACGGCCGUUUUCAAUAACCUAUCUAUCCCUAGUUUCGGUUACUAAAGAUAGACAAAUCUAUAUUUUUGUCCUUACUUACGUUCCAAUAACCUAUCGACGGGCAGCAGUUCCUAUCGGAUUUAUCUAUCCAUCGUCGGGAGGACGGAUAACCUGCUAAAGAUAGAACGCUCAUACAAAUCGUGCUUACUUCCGUUUCAAUAUGAGUUUUAAGUAACUCUCCGGUAGGCGGCGCUAUCUCUAGUAUGGGCAUUCGCUUAUCUGUCAAAAUCGGCCGGUUACAUGUUUAUCUUUCGAAAGUAAAUCGCUAUAAUUUAAUAAUUGUUUCUCUUCAUAUUGGCAUAUUGUAGCAGUGAUGAUAGUGAUAUGGAAUUAUUUCAAAUGAUAAUGGAUUGUGAUGCAGAUAGUGAUAGUGAGGCCGAUAUCAUAUGGUUAGGAAAAUAAAGAUCGUCUGAAUUACAUGGCGAAGAUCAAUAAUUACGAAUUUGACUAUAGAUUUCUGAGCAAAGGUAUUGUGAAUGAAUUGAUUAAUUUAAUGAGACCAUAUUUGAGUGUAACGUCAAAAAGAUUCAAAUAUAGGAGAGGAAUUUAGAAAUAGAAAAAGAGUAUUUUGAAUGUGUAAUUUGUGUGCAAUGCAUCAUUGAUGUUUCAAAAUGUUGUUGCUUGAUGGCCCGGGUCUACUCAUGAUACAGCUAUAAUUAACCAUUCCGAUUGAAAAGAUGCAUUGGUGUUUGUAAAAGAAGACUCCCUGUAUAUCAUUGAAAAGUAGAUUAAAACUAGAAAAUAUGCAAGCUGUUAUUAUAGCUGCCAUGCUGCAUAAUAUCGUCAGAAGUAUGAAUUUAGAAGAAUUAGAAUCAGAAAUUUCAGUCGCAGAUACAUUACAGGAAAAUAAUAUAAUUGUUCGUAACAAUUUUUCAAAACUUACAUCUGAAAUACAACUAUGUACUUAUAAAUAAUUGCUUCCAAAGAUAAUUUAUAAAAUAAACUCCAAAGAUAA